UUGCGCAAUAUAGUCUUCUGAGUCGUGUAGAUCUAGUGUAAAUUCUAUAGAGUUUAUCCAUAGGAGUUCUCUGGGUGGGGUAAUUUCGGGGGAGACCACAAGUACCAGUUAGCAUAGACCAGGGCUACUCAUUGUAGGGCUUUAUUGUUGUAGAAAUAUAGAGACAAACCUCGCUCUUCGGUCUAGGCAUAAGUAUGUUUACGUUACUAAGCUCUUCUAAAUAUAGAAGGUAAAAAAUGAUGUAGAGCUAUUUGAUUUGACCUCUAGUAAGGGUCACCUUCAGAGGAGAUUUGAUUGGCAAAGAAGAGACAGAAACCGGGGUAUUUAUACCCGUCAUAGAUGUUCUGCCUACGUCAUCAACAUGAUGACGCAGAAGAGCUCCGAUAACGCCUUUCUGGUGUUUCCGUGGACAUUGAACUCGAUUUAUUUGGUUUCGUAAAGAAUCGACCACAACCGGAAACAACCGAAGUAAACAACCAAGAUGGAGUCUGACCUAGGUAGAGCAAUGUAGAGAUGAAUAUGACUUAAAGGACAAAUAAUGGUUUAGGGGCCAAGUUGUAAUGGAUACCCGGGCUAGUUGGUUAAGGAAGUUGAUAACCAAUUGAAACAGAUAGGGCUGACCACCGACAUCCCUGGAUAAGCUGGGAAAACGAGGAGGGGCGGGCUGGCACUGAUCUCCCGGUGAAAUCUAAAAUCUUGGACACAAAAGUAAACGACGUGGUAAUGGUGAGGAGAGGUAUCAAUGGCUCAGUUAUAAUACAACACAUACUACAAGAUACUCCAGUCAUUCCAAGUUUAUUUCAGAUUGCUGACUGGGAAUGGAUCAGUGUGAGGGUUUCUUGACUAAGGGAUGCUUGGUCAGAUGUGAGGGGUAUCUGUGUCCUAAUACAAGUGGUGCACUCAUUUGGGGACGUAUGGUAAGAGGAGGUAAAGAAGAAUGAUUGUAAUGUCAUAUCCGGGAAAGUGUCACACAUGGGAAUAUCGAUCACAACUUCUAUAUAAAGAUAUCAAGAAGAUUGACGUCUAGAUGAACAUUUAUGUUUCAUGGUAAUGAUAUGGUCAAAGGCUUGGUACUGUGGUAUCCGAUAUUUAUGUUGUGUUCGCUUCGAGCAGGACUUGUUGUGACCGGUAAUAGAACGUCUACAGUCUAUGAGUGUAUAGUUAGUGUACACUAAAGGAGGUCCUUAGGUCCAAUGGAACUAGCCAUUAAACCUGUGGAGCUGAAAUCCAGUAUCCAGGGAUUGCGCGCUAAUCGUGGUUACCAGAUGGCCAAUCAUAAUCCCCUUGUAGCAUAGACUGCAGUUUGUUUUUGAAAUUAUCUUUUCCUGAAAUUACUAUUUGCAAUAAAAUCUUUGGCUCUGUGUUUAUUCUAGACUUACAAAGUCUGUUGAGAUCAAAUAGUCUGUAAUAAUAUUAAUUUCUUCACACGGACACUAAAUUAUUUUCUCAGAAAAACAUUUUCUCUCUAGGCUCAUCUCAACAGACUUAUAAAAUGCGAUUCUGAUGUUUGAUUUUUCUCUAGAAUUGAAAGAAAGCUAAGCCUUUUUCAUGCAGAACUGAAGUAAUUGGUUAGGCAUUUAUAGUUGCUGAA